rnacentral:lncRNA from 1 species
AUGCAUGUUAUUCCAUAUCACAAUAAAAAGGAAUUAGAAUCGCUACAAGAAGCAAGAGUGCCACCCUGGGUGCCUAGUCCUUUCCAUACAUUCAGCCACUGGAGGAAGCUUAAAAUGAUAUGGAUGGUGGGGGAAAGGAGAUUAAAAAAAAUAUAUUAUCGGGUUUUAAAAGGUGGAAACGAAUCCGAACGAAGAAGCCGGGAUAAUAACCUAAGCUCUACAGCAGCUGCAAGGAAGACGACACACAACAGCUUAUUCGAAGGAGACGAGGAAGGGGGGGCACUGGGAUCCAAAUGCUUUAAAAGCAGAGGAUGGGGCUCCAGAGGCCGAGCAGUCCGUCACUCGAUUCCCGAAGAGAGGGGCAGCUCUGGGCCUGCCCGCUCGCCUCCUGGGGCUUCGCUUUCUGCCAAGGAGAUGGAUGAAGGUAGGCAGAGAAGCGCAGGUGGCGGCGGUCGCUCGAUCCGGCGGGGCUUCGUAUCUCCGGGGGCGGCCGCGGAGAAGGAGCGGCCGACAGUCUCGGGGGGGGAAGCAAUCACUCAGCGUCGCCGCUCCACCCGAGGGGCAGAGAGAGACAGAGAAGGCGAGCGGUGCCGCCGCCGCCGCUUCCAGGACAGCCUGCGGCUCGGCAAGGAGAGCGCUUCGGCGCCGCUGCUUCGGCCGCCCCGGAGCCUUCGGCCCUCCUCAGGCUUGCUGUCGGGUCCCGAGGCGGAGCCCAGUUUCGCGCGCAGCCUCCACAGACCCUCCCCAGCCCCAGGCGGUCGACUGCGGCGGAGUCAGGAGCCGCGGAAGCUCCAUGGAGGCCGACUCGGCUCCGGCCGCUUCGUGGGUCCCUCCUCUUCCUCUUCCCACCCCCACCCCCCUCGCUCAGUCCGGCCGCGCGACCAACAGCCGAAAGGCAGCUCGCGGCGCCAGCAGCCCCACCCACUGAGCAACCGUCAAGCCUUUCCCUUUCCCCCCUCAGCUUGGAAACAACGGCAGCCGGCAGCGCCCGGGCGGGUUCUUACGGCGGAACCACCAACUGCAACCUGCCGGGUAGAUUCUCGCGCCGCGUGCGCAGGCGCACUGCGCCAACCCAUUGCUCGCCCUCGUCCUCUCUCCCUCCUCCCCCCACGCACCGCCACGAGGAGGUGGGAGGGAACUCGAGUGAAAAGUCACACCCACUCCUAG